rnacentral:misc_RNA from 1 species
GCACGGUGAUUCUCGAUAGAACUUCAAUAGAGACACCAUGACUGACAGUUGACAUAAGGCCUUUAAGAACCAGUGGUUGCACUCCUUCAAAGACUGGCACCUUUGCAUUUGAGGGUAAUGGCUCACUAGCAUUCCGUGAUUCCAGAUGCUGGAAGUCAGAAUUGUCACCAACAUUUGAAUCAAGCUCAUCUCUGGGCAUGCUUGAAAGAAGUACAUUCUCAGUAGUUCUAUCUCGGAAUGAUAAGCGAUCAAUUACACGACAAACGAGUUCCAGCACCUGACAAUACACAUGAACGAAGUCUGUAUGCAUCAUGGCAACACAACCCCAGAAAAGCUGGGGAUAGAGUAUAACCUUUU